rnacentral:rRNA from 1 species
CCUACGGGAGGCAGCAGUGGGGGAUAUUGCACAAUGGGGGGAACCCUGAUGCAGCGACGCCGCGUGGGUGAAGAAGCGCCUCGGCGCGUAAAGCCCUGUCAGCAGGGAAGAAAAUGACGGUACCUGAAGAAGAAGCCCCGGCUAACUACGUGCCAGCAGCCGCGGUAAUACGUAGGGGGCAAGCGUUAUCCGGCUUUACUGGGGGGAAAGGGGGCGCAGAGGGCGCUGCACGCCAGGAGUGAAAGCCCGGGGCCCAACCCCGGGACUGCUCUUGGAACUGCGUGGCUGGAGUGCAGGAGGGGCAGGCGGAAUUCCUGGUGUAGCGGUGAAAUGCGUAGAUAUCAGGAGGAACACCGGUGGCGAAGGCGGCCUGCUGGACUGCAACUGACGUUGAGGCCCGAAAGCGUGGGGAGCAAACAGGAUUAGAUACCCGAGUAGUC